AGAACCGACACCCUCUUACACCAAUUCUCCAAACCCUGGCCACUUUAAAGACUCAGUCUGAUUGCUGGUUAUGGUAACAUCUAGAGCAUGCAAAAGAACCUGAACUAGUUUUUAUUUCUGUCAAUACCAGCACUUGGUGGAUCAGCUACAGAAAAUAAGUGUAUGCCUGGGUAUGGCAGCCACAAUCGAGAAAACAACAUCAUUCUACUUCUCCCUUUGGUGAAUUGAUUGAAUGUGAAAAAAACUCUGUGAAAGCUCAAGGACUGUCCUUCGCUCAGAUUUCUUGCCCCUAACCUGGUUUUUUUCUCCAUACUCAUCAACUCAGCCUUUAACAUAUGAAGCUGCUAGGGAAAUCUCCAACAGGGGAAAUGAAGGCUUUACGGACAAAGGUUUUACUUCCCCAAAAUUUACUGCCUAGAACGCCAACCCCUUUGUCUUAUCAUUUUUCCACAAAUGUAUCAUUUCUUUGUCUAAGAUGUAUAAAAUCUUUCUGCUCUGGGACUUCCGUCUCUUGUGAAGGUCCCUAUGUUCACUAAACAUGAAAUAAAGCCUGUAUGCUUUCCCCUUC